rfam:Salmo salar isolate Sally breed double haploid chromosome ssa20, whole genome shotgun sequence.
UCCCGUGUGGCUCAGUUGGUAGAGCAUGGUGUUUGCACUGCCAGGGUUGUGGGUUCGAUUCCCAUGGGGAA